GAUCCUACGGGGGGCAGCAGUAGGGAAUCUUCCACAAUGGGGGGAACCCUGACGCAGCAACGCCGCGUGCAGGAAGAAGGUCUUCGGAUUGUAAACUGUUGUCGCAGGGGAAGAAGACAGUGACGGUACCCUGUGAGAAAGUCACGGCUAACUACGUGCCAGCAGCCGCAGUAAUACGUAGGUGACAAGCGUUGUCCGGAUUUACUGGGUGUAAAGGGCGCGUAGGCGGAUGUGCAAGUCAGUCGUGAAAUACCGGGGCUCAACCCCGGGGCUGCGAUUGAAACUGCACACCUUGAGUAUCGGAG
rnacentral:rRNA from 1 species